rnacentral:lncRNA from 1 species
AGCCAGCCUCGUACCCAGGCGCAAAUAACGUACUAAAAAUUAGCAACACUACAGUGUUUUUAUAUAGAUCAGUGGCUAAGAGAGCGAGCGCGCGGGGGUGCUAGGUCAACACACGACGGGAUUCUGCUGCGCCUGGCAGAAAAUGUAAAUAUGAUUCUUCAGAAAUACGAUAUCUGAAGAAUCGAACCAUUCAGCUUUUUACUCGUGCCUUUUCAAUUAUUUUUGGCGUUUUUGGUGCUGAAUAUUAUAUUUAUAUGUGCUUAUGGAUGACCUGGAACAAUCGCUGAAGGAAUUAUCAAGAAAUGAGUGUUAGAGGUGAGUGUUUGUAUUGGUUUGCCUUGAGAUUUCAUUAUUCUCUGUAUAUUAUGUGUGCAUCAUUGUAUAAAUCUUGGUCAAGAUGACUACAAGAAAUAGGACAGGUUUCAUAUUUUAAAAGAAUUUGUAAGCUGCCCACAAAAGGAGAAAGAAUAAUUUCAACCAGGGAUGCACCUUUAAUAAUUUAACACCAGAAUCAAAAGCCCAUGUCGAGUUCCAGCCAAAGAGAUUUGCUGAUCAAAUGUCUUUAUACUAAUUUAAUAUACUAUACAAUUCUAAAAGUUGUAAAUACUUGAAUAGUUUAUUUUCAGCAAACAAUCACUGAAUUGAUACAGAACCCAGUAGUGCUGUCACUACUAUGACUACUGCUUGAUACAUGUAUAUUAAAUUUGCCAUGAAGUGAUUUGAAUAUUUUUGUUUUUCAGUGUAUUGUGUGCAGUUUGACAUUUGUCACUGAUGUUCUUGAAUUCCAAAAGAUUUUCAACUACAUGUGAUAUGAAUAUAGAUAUAAUAUUAUAUUUGCAACCCAUGAAAAGUAUAUUUUCUCUGUAGCUGGUACAGUUCAACAUAGCACAAUUUGAUUGAGUAAAAGACUUUCUGAGGGUGCCUCUGGCAGCCACCUUAUGGAGGGUGAGUUAGAGGCUAAUCCCAAGCCACCCGUCAACAUUCCCUCUAUAGAAAACUGGAGUUCCCGGAGAAAACCCACAACUUUUGUCAGAGUGUUGACAGCAUGACUCUUUUCACAUUUAAGUGUCGUUGAAGUGGUGAGAAUUGAACCAACAAUCUCAGAUGUAAAAAGUCCUCGCUCUGACAAUUGCACUACCAAAGUCGGUGGCACAAUCAGCACGCCACCAUAGCCCCAGUAGGGUGCAGUGGAACUUGAUGGGCUAAGCUGUUAAUUUGUGCCAAUGUACCUAGCUUGUUGAGAAGUUCAGCUGUGGGUGAGUGCAUGGGUCUAUAAAUAAAAACCCACAAGAGUAUUAAAUUUGCAUAAAUAUUGCUAGUUCUAGCUAGAUUCCUUUGAAUGUAAAUACUAGUACUUUAUGUUAUGAGCAAAAUAAAUAAAAUUCUCAAGACUUUAAAUGUUACAGGGGUUGUUGUUUGCAUAGCAUGUUGAUGAGGUAUAUCUCAUUCAGUCAAGUUGUGUAAAACAUAUGCCCGUUCUAACUUGGCUGAACCAAUGACCAUAUACAGGAUUUAGGAACAAGCACAGAAACAACUGGGAUAGGUCUUGUUGUUGUCCAAGCACUUUACUGGGACCUACCCUGAGUGACCUGAAAUGGUUUCAGGUGAAGAAUUUGGGGUGGCUAACCCUGUAGUAUAUACAUGUUUGGAUUGUUUAAUCCCGAGACCAAUUUCCAUGACAACAGGGUAAAUCAUGUAAUGUGUGUAUAUUUAAUGUUGACACAUAUUUUCAGUGAGACCAUCAGAUGAUGUUUGCCACAUAUUUUUCAAAUAUCGUUGAUUAUUAACAUGCAUCUGAAAUCAGCCCAAUUGUCCAGUUUUUUAGACACUGUCCUGUAACUAGGUGUCAAAUGCAUUAUAUGUGGCCACAGGUAAGUCCAGAGUCUACCCCACUCCUUAGUGUAAACAUGGUAGAUUUUGGCAAUCAAGGGCAAUAGCCUUUAUAGGUCAAAUGCAAGGUGAAGAACAAAAUACACAUCAAAGUAUAAAACACUGGGUUAGUUUGUGCUUUAGCCUUUAAACUUACUGUCAGCCAGUUACAACAAUAGCUAAAUGGCCAAAACAGGUUUUAUAUUAUUAAAUUUAUUAAAUGUUCAUAUAUUCACUGAUAUUUUGCAUACUAUAAAGCAGUCAUGCAUGUUUAAUAUAGGCCUUUUUAUUGGUAAAAUUUUAGAAACUAAGAAACCUACAAUAAAAUAUUUUCUAGUUAUAAAUUUUCUCCUCUGAGGUAAAAGGUAUCAUCAGUACAAAUAAAUAGUAAUUUCAACAUUCCAUAUAAAUUCAAUGUAUUAUUAAAAUAUUUAUAUUAAAAUUAAAAGAUUCAAGAAUAAGGUCCAGUUUCUUUGACUUUGCUUGGUCAGUUUCUCUUUCAAACUGCAAAAAGGCAGUAUAUUUCAUGAUGUGCAUCCAACACCAGACAUAUAUUUUCAACCAAUUGAAAUAAAUCGUUAUUUUUUUUAGAAUGUUCAAUAAUCUCGAGUUCUCUCAUGACCAGCAGACUUUCUAAUUUCGAGAGGCUGGUCUCCUGAGGAGACCUUUAAUUAAAAUACCGUUUUCGAGGAAAAAUCCUUAUUAUCAACGCAGUGAUAAUUUGGACAUAAAAUCUUUCCCAAAUGUACCGCUCGUUAGGCAAGCCUUUCAAUUUCAUUUAUAUAGUACAGCAAUUUCCUUCUUUGCAUUCUCAUGUCCGCCAUGUUUGUUACAAAUUCUGCCAGGCGCCUCGCUUCCCAAGUCCUCCCCAAGCACCCCCGCGCGCUCGCUCAGCCACUGAUCUAUAUAAAAAAACUGUAGUGUUGCUGUUUUUUAGUACGUUAUUUGCGCCUGGGUACGAGGCUGG